rnacentral:rRNA from 1 species
AGUGGCGCACGGGUGAGUAACGCGUAGAUAAUCUGCCUGAUGAUCUGGGAUAACACUUCGAAAGGGGUGCUAAUACCGGAUAAGCCCACGAUGUCUUUGGACGUUGCGGGAAAAGGGGGGGACUUUCGGGCCUUCUGUCAUCAGAUGAGUCUGCGUACCAUUAGCUAGUUGGUGGGGUAAGAGCCUACCAAGGCGACGAUGGUUAGCUGGUCUGAGAGGGUGAACGGCCACACUGGAACUGAGACACGGUCCAGACUCCUACGGGAGGCAGCAGUGGGGAAUAUUGCACAAUGGGCGAAAGCCUGAUGCAGCGACGCCGCGUGAGUGAAGAAGGUCUUCGGAUCGUAAAACUCUGUCCUUGGUGAAGAAAAAAAUGACGGUAGCCAAGGAGGAAGCCCCGGCUAACUACGUGCCAGCAGCCGCGGUAAUACGUAGGGGGCUAGCGUUGUCCGGAUUUACUGGGCGUAAAGGGUGAGUAGGCGGUUACAUAAGUCAGAUGUAAAAGGCUAAGGCUUAACCAUAGUAUGCAUUUGAAACUGUGUGACUUGAGUACAGGAGAGGUAAGUGGAAUUCCUAGUGUAGCGGUGAAAUGCGU